rnacentral:rRNA from 1 species
CUCCAAAAAUUGGUUGGGGUAAUGCCCCAUUUUGGCCCCCACAGGUUGCCCGCCUGACAGGGUGACCGGCCACACUGGGACUGAGACACGGCCCAGACUCCUACGGGAGGCAGCAGUGGGGAAUAUUGCACAAUGGGCGAAAGCCUGAUGCAGCGACGCCGCGUGAGGGAUGACGGCCUUCGGGUUGUAAACCUCUUUCAGCAGGGAAGAAGCGAAAGUGACGGUACCUGCAGAAGAAGCGCCGGCUAACUACGUGCCAGCAGCCGCGGUAAUACGUAGGGCGCAAGCGUUAUCCGGAAUUAUUGGGCGUAAAGAGCUCGUAGGCGGUUUGUCGCGUCUGCUGUGAAAGCCCGGGGCUCAACCCCGGGUCUGCAGUGGGUACGGGCAGACUAGAGUGCAGUAGGGGAGACUGGAAUUCCUGGUGUAGCGGUGAAAUGCGCAGAUAUCAGGAGGAACACCGAUGGCGAAGGCAGGUCUCUGGGCUGUAACUGACGCUGAGGAGCGAAAGCAUGGGGAGCGAACAGGAUUAGAUACCCUGGUAGUCCAUGCCGUAAACGUUGGGCACUAGGUGUGGGGGACAUUCCACGUUUUCCGCGCCGUAGCUAACGCAUUAAGUGCCCCGCCUGGGGAGUACGGCCGCAAGGCUAAAACUCAAAGGAAUUGACGGGGGCCCGCACAAGCGGUUUGUCGCGUCUGCUGUGAAAGCCCGGGGCUCAACCCCGGGUCUGCAGUGGGUACGGGCAGACUAGAGUGCAGUAGGGGAGACUGGAAUUCCUGGUGUAGCGGUGAAAUGCGCAGAUAUCAGGAGGAACACCGAUGGCGAAGGCAGGUCUCUGGGCUGUAACUGACGCUGAGGAGCGAAAGCAUGGGGAGCGAACAGGAUUAGAUACCCUGGUAGUCCAUGCCGUAAACGUUGGGCACUAGGUGUGGGGGACAUUCCACGUUUUCCGCGCCGUAGCUAACGCAUUAAGUGCCCCGCCUGGGGAGUACGGCCGCAAGGCUAAAACUCAAAGGAAUUGACGGGGGCCCGCACAAGCGGCGGAGCAUGCGGAUUAAUUCGAUGCAACGCGAAGAACCUUACCAAGGCUUGACAUGAACCGGUAAGACCUGGAAACAGGUCCCCCACUUGUGGCCGGUUUACAGGUGGUGCAUGGUUGUCGUCAGCUCGUGUCGUGAGAUGUUGGGUUAAGUCCCGCAACGAGCGCAACCCUCGUUCUAUGUUGCCAGCGGGUUAUGCCGGGGACUCAUAGGAGACUGCCGGGGUCAACUCGGAGGAAGGUGGGGACGACGUCAAAUCAUCAUGCCCCUUAUGUCUUGGGCUUCACGCAAGGUACAAUGGCCGGUACAAAGGGUUGUGAUACCGUGAGGUGGAGAUUAUCCCAAAAAGCCCCUCU